rnacentral:rRNA from 1 species
AUUGAACGCUGGCGGCAGGCCUAACACAUGCAAGUCGAGCGGUAGCACAGGGAGCUUGCUCCUGGGUGACGAGCGGCGGACGGGUGAGUAAUGUCUGGGAAACUGCCUGAUGGAGGGGGAUAACUACUGGAAACGGUAGCUAAUACCGCAUAACGUCGCAAGACCAAAGAGGGGGACCUUCGGGCCUCUUGCCAUCAGAUGUGCCCAGAUGGGAUUAGCUAGUAGGUGGGGUAACGGCUCACCUAGGCGACGAUCCCUAGCUGGUCUGAGAGGAUGACCAGCCACACUGGAACUGAGACACGGUCCAGACUCCUACGGGAGGCAGCAGUGGGGAAUAUUGCACAAUGGGCGCAAGCCUGAUGCAGCCAUGCCGCGUGUAUGAAGAAGGCCUUCGGGUUGUAAAGUACUUUCAGCGGGGAGGAAGGUGUUGAGGUUAAUAACCUCAGCAAUUGACGUUACCCGCAGAAGAAGCACCGGCUAACUCCGUGCCAGCAGCCGCGGUAAGAC